ACUGCUGACUGACUGUUCUUUCUUCAAGUUAGUUUUCAGAAAUAAGAUAUGUACUGCAGAUGCUCUCUGUGUGAUGGGAGAGGAAAAUUACAUAGGUAUAAAUCUGACAAAACCAUUGAUUAUCAGAUAUUUCAAGUAUAAGGUAUCACAAAGGAAGGAUUAGAUCUCUUGUUAAGGUACUUGAAUGGCAUACCUAGUUAUUUAAGAUAAACAUUGCAUGUCUUGACCAUUCUUUUAUAUUAUAGAAUAGUGAGCUGUGAUCAACAAACCCUUUCUACACUUGCUUUGUCUGUGGGAAGCACUCUCAGUACCACACAUCACCAUAGGACCCAAGUGUUGGAGAAUAAAUACUAAUUAGAUGAAUCCCAGGAAGUUCAAAUCUAAUCCUUAUGCUGCUGUAUGUGUUCCCUAUGUCAUGUAGACAACUAAAUGAAGGAUUUAUCAAUAUCCUCUCAAUCUAUUUCGGCACAAGAUUUGCUUCGCAGCAAUGUCAGAGCCUUUGGCAGAAAAUGUAGAGUUGGUAUUCCUCCUUUCACCUGAGCAUUUAUCCAGCAUCAUUUACUGAUUUUUUUUUCUUUCUGUUUUCUAGCAAGGGAUUUUCCGUGUUUCCAGCUUCUACACCAUUUGUGGUAUUCUAUGUGGGUUUUUUUUGUUUUGUUUUGUUUUGUUUUGUUUUGUUUUGUUUUUUCUAUUUGAUGCUUCUGGGCUGCGUGCUGAAAGCUGUAACAGAAAGAGUCCUAUGUGAAAGCCUCUGAACUCUUCUGAGCCACAGGAGGAUGAAGACAGCCUGCAAUAAGAGCUGCCUGAGAAAAUCUAACAGACAUGAUUUUAUUGGUGAAUAGCUGUGAGUUAUUGAUGACUGGAUAAUAAGGCAGACAAUGAGCUCACUGAUGUUAAGAAAUUUAUCCUGCAGAAUACGGGAGAGUUUAACUCCAUUUCCCUAGUGGGAAAAAUGAGGCAAGUAAGGCUUCAAAGUAAAUGCUAACACUUUUGUCUAUUUUGGAAGUAACAUUCCUCCAAAAAGUCAGCCUCAUAUUUUCCUCUGCUGGAUAAUCUGUCAUAAGUCUUCUGACUGACAUGGCUGAAAUGUGAACAUUAAUGGCCUUAAUCCCAGGCUGAUUUAUGCCAGAGUACAUCAAAUACCUGCCUGAGACCACUGUGUUCUUGAACUGAAGCAAGGUGUCAGGAAUGUAUUUCAUAGCAUCUAAAAGGGCACUGAAUGCUCAUAAUUUGGCAAACAGAUUCUGUCUGUGGUAUCCUAAUUGAGAACCACACACCCACACCCCCCCUCCCCCCGAGGAAGAAAAUGAGGACAAUUAUACUCAACAAGCUAGGCAACAGAAUUUAUCAAUGAAACUUUGGUAUGGGUUUUUUCACAAGAAACUGGUAUGGGAAGAAAACUGCCAUGGGAAGAAAAGCAGUCUCCCAUUUGAAGGUGCUGCUUCAAGUGUUAACCCUGCUAUGGUGGUUUGUGAAAUUUUGUUUGCAGAAUACACAAGGGCUUUCAUGAAAAGACUUAUACUUUAUGCUUCUCCUCUGCAAAUGAGCAGUCAAACCAUUGGCCAAAAAAUGCUGUUUUCUUCUGCACCCAAAAGGGUUCCCUGACGCCUGUAAACAGGCCUGGGUCUCUCUGCUAAUCCAUUUUGAGUUUUAUUGAUUCUUCCUUAUGUUUGAAUGGGAACCAGAAAUUUUCUUUUUCCAGUGACUUUUCUUGAAUUACAUUGUGUUUUAUACCUCUGGGGCUUAAGAACUGCUUCAUUUACCAGUAUCAGGUAAUUGCUACUGCAGCAAUUUGGUACCGUAGAAAUGAGCAGCUGGAAGGUAUUGAUGUCUUGAUAAAAGGUUGUUAUUUGUGUUAAUUUUCCCUCCCUCAUUUUCAUUUUUGGCCAGCCAAACUUGGUAUCAUUUGCUGUUGUUAAUGGUUAUGUUACCUGAAGCUGUUAUGGAAGUCCAUGCCAAGUGCAUCCCAAUGAAUUGAGGAGUAAUGUUGUUUUAAUUUUAACUCCAAUUAUAUCCAGGAAGAUUAAUUGUUGGGGGCAAAUCCUUACGUGGGGCCAAAAGGGAGUUAUAAAUCAUUCAGUUAGAUUAUCAGAUAAUUUUCAAGCUCCUGUGGGUUUCAGAAAAUGGACAAGAAUAGCUUAAACCUGUCUCUUUCACAAAGAACUAGUAGCUUUUGAUAAAUUAGAAUCUGUCUUUUUCCUCUCUCCAGUGAUCUCUCUGGAUGUGGGUGAAAUGUCCACUAGUGCUAAUUUAAUUGCAAGUGGAACCCUCUGCUGCCUGCAAGUAAUUCACAUUUUUCAGAAGCAGAUAAUGGCAAUAGUAAAAGUGCCUCCUUGCUAUCAGGUCAUUUUAUUUUUAAGUCAAUGACAAUGGAACUAUUAUGUACCAGUUGAUGAGAACUUAAUUUGUUUAAGUAUAGAAGGGGAUUUAUUAGCAGUAAUAUGUUAGCAUUACCAUGGACCUCUAGCUCCUACAUAUGCAUUAGACAAUUUCACCUAAUCUAAGAAAAUGUAAACUAAUCUAGCUAGAUGCAUAAGUAUGGACCUCAUUUUCCUUUCAUGGAGACAAGAGAUAAUUAGAAGACACUUACCAGACCUAAAGCAGAGUAACUUAGCUGAGAAUCAGAUCUCUUAUCUUCCAUGUAAUCUGAAUAUUCCACUAUAUGAUCAUGAUUCUAAGGAUAGUUCAGGUCAUGAAAGAUGACUAAUUGCAUCCAUGAAAGUGAACUCUCCCCCUUUAGCAAGGCAUGCAUCUGUGUCAGCCAGAGCAUCUGUGACUCAGACCCUCUCUAUUACUGCACAAAUUACUCAUUUCCCCUCAUGUAAAUAGAUAUGAACUAGAAGGAACCCAGAAAUACCUAGAAAAGUCAGGAUGGUCAGGCCCUUCUAGUUUUUCAGGGCUGCUCCUCUCUGUCUCCCUGUCCCAGAGUGGGCCUUUCCCUGGGCUGCAGUCCUCCAGGGAGAACAUGCUCCAGUUGGGACCAGGCUGCGCCCAGCAUUUGGAACAGGUUGAAUACUCCUGCGGUGGUGAAAAACUGUUGUCUCUUCUUGUUCAUGCAAGAGGUAUUUUGAAAGUUUGGCUUGGUUUUUAUCCCUUUCUAAAAUUUUUUUUCUAAACUGGGACUAGAGUUCUUCUAACCUUCCUUGAGGUUUUUUGUUUUUGUUUUUUUUUUUUUUUUUUGUUGUUGUU